UGGGUCAGGGCAGUUGGAUCCCUAACUGCUCCCCUCUACCGUUCUCUUCUCUCGCCGUCGCCGUCGCCGUCGCCGUCGCCCCUCCGAUCUCACCUCCAUCUCCUGGUUCUGCACCCUAGCUAGCGCGUUCGUGGCUCCAGAUCGGGCUUCCCUUGGCUUCGCCGUACCCAGAUGUUGUGUUCCGCUCUGGGUAUAUGUGAUGCUCCGACGAUGUCGGGUAAGGACACGGAUUGCUCCUGCCUUUCUCCUACGGAAUUUGGGUGCCAGAUUUGUUAAUGUAGGUAUAAAUACUGAUUACUGAUUCUGGAGAGGUUGUGGUUAUAUUAAAGUAGUGUCUGCAAUAUUGUAACCAUCGAUGUAAUUAGGUUACGCUUUCAGUUAUUAGGAAAUGCCCCAAUUUAUUGGUUUGAGCAGCCUCUAAUGAUCAAGUUUAUUAAAAUGGAGGGGCAGAUUUCAAUUUAAGGCAUUCGAGGCCAAACCUUCAUGGAUUUUGUGAGAAGACACCUAUGUUGGGCAAUUAAACAUUGGCAACUGAAGUAGUUUGCACAAUGGGGGAAAACUGGAAUCGGAUCUCAUGACCUGGGAGUUCUGAUGUCUAGUUCUGUUAGUAAACCAUUUUUUAGCUUAAAAUUUUAGGAAAAGGCUCAAUGUACAUGGAAGUAGUUUAGACAUGGCUCUGUCAAAAUAGUUUCAAUAGUCGAAACAAACACGACAUGAUGCCAACCAUUCACAACAUCAAUCUUGACUUAGGAGUCGAAGAUGCAUAAUAUAUAGAAAUUAUACCAGCCAAUAUAGUAUUCCCUGUGAGUUUAUACUUUUUUUUGACGACAUGGAGAGAAUCAUAGUCAUAAAUGAUAUAUAGGAUCAUUCAGUGAACUAGGGAAAAAAUGGGAAUGGAAAAACUGGAUUGCCACUUACUAAUUGUUGAUCUUGCUUGCACUACAUGUUGAUGCAAAUUUUCUUCCUUUUAACCUUUAUCUAACUGAUUUUAUUAUGUUAUCAUUAAGUCAACAACUUUCAUAUAUUUAAGAUCCACCACAAUAUAAUGGCUGCUUAAGGACUCUAUCGCAUGCUUUCUCUUAGUCAAUUAAAGUCAUACACAAAUUAUCCUUCUAUUCACUAUGUUUCUCCAUUAAUUGUAUUUUUAUUUAAAUAUUAUUUGUUGUUUAUUCCCCUAAAAUAUAACCGAAUUGAUUUCCAGAAAUGUCUGUUUGAUAUCUUAUUCUUCUCUCAAUAACUCUUUCCUCUAAUCUUGUGCAAGCAAGAUGAAAUUUCUUAUAGUCAUUUGCAUUCUUAAUAUUUGAGAGGAUGGUUAUCCCUUGUAAAAAAAUUAAUUUUCUUAUAUUCAUGCUCCUCAGUUAAGUUUCUAUAACAGUAGAUUCCUUCUAUUGGUGUCACAAUUACAGUGAUGCUUAUUUUUCUAUUUCCUGAAAAGAGACCACAAAAAUAAUUGUCAAUGAGGAAUGUGAGUGUCUGAACUAACUCUUUAUUUCAGUUUUUCUUUUUUUGUAUAAAAGAAUUAAAUGCUAAAAGCCGUUUCUUUUUUACAAAGUAAAAGAAUACAACUAAAAAUUAGGAGAGGGAAAACUGAAUAAACCAAAUAUCAAGUCAGUGUAUUGAUCAUAGGGUACAGAGUUCAAUGUAGUGAUGAUCUAUUUUGCAAAAUGAUUGAAAAUAUAGGCAUCAGCAUUCAACAUUUCUUUUGGGAAAUACAAGCAUUGGCAAUGGUGGAUUUUCAUAUUCUAUUUAUAAGAUCGAGUAGGUUCUCCCUGGAAAUCCAUAUGUUGGCUGUUUGCAAUAUGUAUGCAGGUUUAGAAGUUCGAAGGCUUGCAUGUUGAGAGAAACAUGAAAAUCUCAAGAAGGAUUUUUUUUCUUGAACCACAUAUAUAGUGUAAAGGCUGAUGGUUGGAUCAUUACAAGCUUAGGAUAUUGAGAAGAGUGACUCUAUUUUGGAUUAGUCUUCUAAACAAGCAUUCUAAUCCAGCUUCAAUAUCCUUGAUGUUCUGCAAUGUCUGGCUUUCUAGUUUCUGCAACAUCCCGUGAUUGGCUUCGGUAUGCUCAUGCUUCUCAUCAUCAGAAGCUACUUUUCUCUUGUGCAAUGCCUUUGAGAUCAGUGACCAUCUUCCAGUUUUUGUUAUGGGGCUUUGUACGGUCAAGAAGUUGAAGAUGGAUUGUAGUAGAGAAAGAGUGAUCUCUCUUGCUUCCUUCCAUGUCUUUAUCACAUGGCAUAGAUCAUUGUGUGCACAACAUAAGACAAAUCUGUCAUUCAUCUGCUUCCGUAAUCUGAUGCAAUUCUUGAUAUCUUUCUUGCCCUUCCUGUCUGAACAAAUUGGAGAAUGCAAUUUACUCUGGCAAACUGUUUCUCCGCCCCUUCUAUGGACCAUUUCAAGGUCUCUAAUAUACUCUUUUGUUGAUAUCAUGCAAUCCCUUGUGGUGCCAAUCAAGUCCAACAGUCUGAUGGAGAUAUCCAACUCUAUUUCCACCCAUCUGUUUUGUCGGCUAUUGGAAAAGAGCUGGCUGCUGCUAGACAACUGAAGGAAUUUAUCAAUGCAUUCAUGCAAGCAUGCAAGGGCUUGCAAUCCCUGACAAAUCAUUUGGGGUGUUCAAUAGGAUUCACCUACAAUAGACUUGAGCUUCUGCAGUUGCUCUUGCACUUCAAUAUGAUGGGGUGAUCUCUUGCUUGUAUGCUGAUGGACCGGAUGUGGGAAGGAUGAGUUGGGAUCACAGGAGAAUCAACCAUAUUUGCGCUGUGAACUUGUGAAGCUUGCAGUACAAUGAGCUUAGGAGUAGAAAGAAGCAGGAUGCCAAGAUGAGAAUGAUUGUUGAGCUCUCGCUAUAUAUAGAUCCGUUGGAGCAGAUUGGAAGCACAUGAAAUCUUUCCAGCUAAGACCAACAUGAUAUGUGAAGCAUGGUGAUUGGAUCGUGUGUCCUUUUUGCUGAACAGGUCAAUUUAUUUCCUCAUUUGAAAUCAACUCAUGACUGUAUUCUAUAUAUAACUGUCAUUGAGAUUCAUGACACAUAUUUAAGCAGGUCAGAUUUGGAAUCUGGCAAGAUGUUUUUGUAUUUAUAUUUCUAAAUUAUGGACUAAUCUCUGAUGUGCAGCUGCCCUGUGUCUGUUUGUUAGGCCACAUUUUGAAGACAAGAUCAACCAAUCAACUACAUAUCAUGCAAAUUUAUUACCUAUAUGGUGGCGAAUAGGUGCAGUAACUAACAACCAAACAUGAAAACAAAAUAAAUGCAUAUUAGGUAGUCAAGCUAUUGAGUUUGGAGACUUCCAUUUUCCUUGAGGAUAUUCCUUCUCUCUUUGCAAGUUUAGAAAUCAUAUUUGCAAUAAUAUGUGAAGUUGUAAAGAAGCAAAUGAAAUGCCUCGUAGUUUCAUAUGAGAUGAGCAACUACGGCUCAUUAUUUAUAAUGAGGUUAGUAUAUUUCCAGUUACUAAUUUGUUUGUUUGACCCAAUCUUCCAAAAUGGCAUGUCUAUCGUAUUCAUAAGGAUGCUGAUAGAUCUAAGUGGAUAUGCAUGCUGAAACAUGAACACCUUAAAGAUGAUGUCAAGAAUACCUAGAUAUGUUAGGGUACAGGUUCAGUAAACAACACCUAACAUGAAAAGAAAAUGUGUGUACAUGAUUGGCAGUAUAAAAGAAAUGCAUCCUUUGCCUAGACUGAACUAAGAAUUCACUCACUGUGCUCUUAUAAUUCAGAAAAGGAGGGGUAAAAUAGCUCUAAGCAGUAUAAUUUACAUUUGCAACUUGUAUACAAAAUUUGGAUUAUACAACAACUCUAAUCCUUCUUCAAUGCACUCAUGCUCUUCUUUAUAAUUCAGAAAUAGUGUACUUUAUUUAAGUGCAGCUAUCUUUAUUUAAUUUUUUUUCUAAUUAUCUGCCAAAGAGAGUCUGGUUGUUGCAGUCCAGAUUAUCUCCAUAGCUCACUCCCAAAAUGUCACAAUAUCUCUUGUAGUAUCCUAUCCGGUCCCUUGAUCCAGGUUCAACAAUUCCUUUGCCACACUCCACCCCUCCAUCGAUGAUUUCAGUGAUGACACCGUAUCCAGCAAUCUCUCCGGCCUCUACAUCUCUAUCCGCCGGCUGCCAUCUUCCGAUGAUUAUAUCAUCGGACGACGACGACGGCGGUCUGGAGGACUGCGGAGUCAUCCGGAGCCAACUGGCCUUCUUCAAGGAGAUGGUUACAUCCAGAGCCAAAUACCUGUCUCUAUUCUCCGGCUGCCAUCUUCCGACCAUUACAUCAUGAGGCGAUGGUUUCGGGGACUGCGGGGUCAUCCAGAACCAAAUGGCCGUCUGGAAGGAGAUGACCGGAUCAGUCGCAACUAAGUCCGGGUGGCUGAGAAGAUCCACCCCGAUGGCUUCCCCAGCUGCUCCAUAAUUAUAGUUGCUGCAUAACGUUGGCGAUUAAGUAAACGCUAUUAAUUUCUUAAUGAUAAGCCAAAGCAUAAUAAAUUGAAUGAGUGAGUAAGUACUAGGAGAUCUGCAUGGGUCCCUGUCCGUAGUACUUCUCGCCGGAGGCGCAUGGCCACUUUGCGCUGGGCACGCAGUAGUCCGGUGGACUCCCUUGUUCUCUAUGGAAGCAGUAACCCCCAUGCGCGUCAACUGACCGGUGGUUUCGUGCGAUGUCUGGCCGAAGAAGGCCGCGAGCUCCCUCUUCCGGACGGUGACGUCGCCGGUCGUCCCGAACCCAGGGAAGGACUCUGCGGCGGUGAUGAACGCACGGUACGUGUAGAAGCCACUGGCGGGGCAGUUGCGGUCGUCGCGGUGCGGCAGCAUCCGGUUGAAGUCGGAGAGAGUUAACAGCCCAUCUAAUUCCUGUGCGUGGCUGUGCGGCCGCGUCAGGAAGAAGAUGAGCGAGAAGAAGAAGAGGAGGAGGAGCUUCAUGUGUGACAGGGCUGUCGAGAAGUGCCCUAGACUACAAAAUAUGCGUCCUGUUUCUCAAGAAGAAUUUUAUCUGUUUUAAACCGGGUGUUUUGGAUUAAGUUUUGUCUUUAACAUUAAAAAAACUUAAUUCUAUGUAGUUAAAACAUAGUUUUGGAUAUGAAAACAAAUUAUGAUG